rnacentral:rRNA from 1 species
UGAGGAAUUUUCCGCAAUGGGCGCAAGCCUGACGGAGCAACGCCGCGUGUGUGAUGAAGUCCUUCGGGAUGUAAAGCACUGUCGGAGGGGAUGAAUAAAUGACAGUACCCUCCAAGAAAGCCCCGGCUAACUACGUGCCAGCAGCCGCGGUAAUACGUAGGGGGCAAGCGUUAUCCGGAUUUACUGGGCGUAAAGCGCGUGUAGGCGGUUGCGCAAGUUGUGUGUGAAAUCUCCCGGCUCAACCGGGAAACUGCACGCAAUACUGCGUGGCUAGAGUGGCAGAGAGGAAAGUGGAAUUCCCGGUGUAGUAGUGAAAUGCGUAGAUAUCGGGAGGAACACCAGUGGCGAAGGCGACUUUCUGGCGGCUAACUGACGCUGAGACGCGAAAGCUAGGGGAGCAAACGG